rnacentral:rRNA from 1 species
UACAGAGGAGCCAAGCGUUGUCCGGAUUGACUGGGCGUAAAGCGCACGCAGGCGGAUCUGCAAGUCGGGGGUGAAAUCCCGAGGCUCAACCUCGGAACUGCCUUCGAUACUGCGGGUCUCGAGUCCGGGAGAGGUGAGUGGAAUUCCUAGUGUAGAGGUGAAAUUCGUAGAUAUUAGGAAGAACACCAGUGGCGAAGGCGGCUCACUGGCCCGGUACUGACGCUGAGGCGCGAAAGCGUGGGGAGCAAACAGG